rnacentral:rRNA from 1 species
GAUGAACGCUGGCGGCGUGCCUAAUGCAUGCAAGUCGAGCGAACGGACGAGGAGCUUGCUUCUCUGAUGUUAGCGGCGGACGGGUGAGUAACACGUGGAUAACCUACCUAUAAGACUGGGAUAACUUCGGGAAACCGGAGCUAAUACCGGAUAAUAUUUUGAACCGCAGGGUUCAAAAGUGAAAGACGGUCUUGCUGGCACUUAUAGAUGGAUCCGCGCUGCAUUAGCUAGUUGGUAAGGUAACGGCUUACCAAGGCAACGAUGCAUAGCCGACCUGAGAGGGUGAUAGGCCACACUGGAAGUGAGACACGGACAAGAGUACUACGGGAGGCAGCAGUAGGCAAUCUGCCGCAGUGGUCGAAAGUCUGACGGAGCGACGCCGCGCCAGUGAUGAAGGUCUUCGGAUCGUAAAAAUCUGUUAUGAGGGAAGAACAUAUGUGUAAGUAACUGUGCAGAUCUUGACGGUACCUAAUCAGAAAGCCACGGCUAACUACGUG